UACGAAGGGGGCUAGCGUUGCUCGGAAUCACUGGGCGUAAAGCGCACGUAGGCGGAUUGUUAAGUCAGGGGUGAAAUCCUGCAGCUCAACUCCAGAACUGCCUUUGAUACUGGCGAUCUCGAGUCCGGGAGAGGUGAGUGGAACUGCGAGUGUAGAGGUGAAAUUCGUAGAUAUUCGCAAGAACACCAGUGGCGAAGGCGGCUCACUGGCCCGGUACUGACGCUGAGGUGCGAAAGCGUGGGGAGCAAACAGG
rnacentral:rRNA from 1 species